rnacentral:rRNA from 1 species
UACGUAGGGUCCAAGCGUUAUCCGGAAUCACUGGGCGUAAAGCGUGCGUAGGUGGCGUGUUAAGUGAGAUGUGAAACCGUGUGGCUCAACCAUACGUUGUGUCUCAUACUGGCAUGCUAGAGGACGGCAGAGGCAAGUGGAAUUACGAGUGUAGCAGUGAAAUGCGUAGAGAUUCGUAGGAACACCAAUGGCGAAGGCAGCUUGCUGGGCCACUCCUGACACUGAGGUACGAAAGCGUGGGGAGCGAACAGGAUUAGAUACCCUGGUAGUCC